rnacentral:misc_RNA from 1 species
UCCGGUUUAUCGCCGGCAGUCUCCACAGAGUCCUCGGCUUGACCCGUUAGUAACUGUGAACAAGGGUUGCGCUCGUUGCGGGACUUAACCCAACAUCUCACGACACGAGCUGACGACAGCCAUGCAGCACCUCUAUGGCGGCCCCCGAAGGGGAAACCCUGUUUCCAGAGCAGUCCGCCACAGUUCAAGCCCAGGUAAGGUUCUUCGCGUUGCAUCGAAUUAAACCACAUGCUCCACCGCUUGUGCGGGCCCCCGUCAAUUCCUUUGAGUUUCACCCUUGCGGGCGUACUCCCCAGGUGGAUUACUUAACGCUUUCGCUAAGACGCUGACAGUGUAUCGCCAACAUCGAGUAAUCAUCGUUUACAGCGUGGACUAC